UGGGGAAUAUUGGACAAUGGGCGAAAGCCUGAUCCAGCCAUGCCGCGUGAGUGACGAAGGCCUUAGGGUUGUAAAACUCUUUCGUCGGGGACGAUAAUGACGGUACCCGAAGAAGAAGCUCCGGCUAACUUCGUGCCAGCAGCCGCGGUAAUACGAAGGGAGCUAGCGUUGUUCGGAAUUACUGGGCAUAAAGCGCGCGUAGGCGGCGACGUAAGUGUAGGGUGAAAUCCCACGGCUCACCCGUGUGAAUUGCCCCCGCAUACUGCGUUGCUUGAGUGUGGUAGGGGAGAGCGGAACUCCUGGUGGAGCGGUGAAAUGCGUAGAUAUCAGGAGGAACACCGGUGGCGUAGGCGGCUCUCUGGUCCAUAACUGACGCUGAAGUGCGAAAGCUAGGGUAGCGAACGGGAUUAGAUACCCUUGUAGUCCCUGAGCGGGCUGGCAAGGCGCAU
rnacentral:rRNA from 1 species